rnacentral:rRNA from 1 species
UUUAUGGAGAGUUUGAUCCUGGCUCAGAGUGAACGCUGGCGGCGUGCCUAAUACAUGCAAGUCGAACGAUGAAGCUUUUAGCUUGCUAGAAGUGGAUUAGUGGCGCACGGGUGAGUAAGGUAUAGUUAAUCUGCCCUACACAAGAGGACAACAGUUGGAAACGACUGCUAAUACUCUAUACUCCUGCUUAACACAAGUUGAGUAGGGAAAGUUUUUCGGUGUAGGAUGAGACUAUAUAGUAUCAGCUAGUUGGUAAGGUA